rnacentral:rRNA from 1 species
AACGAACGCUGGCGGCAUGCCUAACACAUGCCAGUCGAACGAGACCUUCGGGUCUAGUGGCGCACGGGUGCGUAACGCGUGGGAACCUGCCCUUAGGUUCGGAAUAACUCCCCGAAAGGGGUGCUAAUACCGGAUAAUGUCUUCGGACCAAAGAUUUAUCGCCUUUGGAUGGGCCCGCGUUGGAUUAGCUAGUUGGUAGGGUAAAAGCCUACCAAGGCGACGAUCCAUAGCUGGUCUGAGAGGAUGAUCAGCCACACUGGGAAUGAGACACGGCCCAGACUCCUACGGGAGGCAGCAGUAGGGAAUAUUGGACAAUGGGCGAAAGCCUGAUCCAGCAAUGCCGCGUGAGUGAUGAAGGCCUUAGGGUUGUAAAGCUCUUUUACCCGGGAUGAUAAUGACAGUACCGGGAGAAUAAGCUCCGGCUAACUCCGUG